rnacentral:rRNA from 1 species
UGCCAGCCGCCGCGGUAAUACGUACUGGGCGAACGUUAUUCGGAAUCACUGGGCUUAAAGGGUGCGUAGGCGGCCAGGCAAGUCAGGUGUGAAAUCUUCCGGCUCAACCGGAAAACUGCGCUUGAAACUGCUUGGCUUGAGUGAGAUAGGGGUGUGCGGAACUUCCGGUGGAGCGGUGAAAUGUGUUGAGAUCGGAAGGAACACCGGUGGCGAAAGCGGCACACUGGGUCUUCACUGACGCUGAGGCACGAAAGCUAGGGGAGCGAACAGGAUUAGAUA